CUUUUUGUAGCUUUACGGAGAAAUUACGACGGUCUCCACUCUCGGAGAAUGGAGGCUUGUUUAUCUACCUACGAUGUUUGGCUUUCGGUUCUUACGUAAUAAUAAAAUCGUUUAAAAAGAU